UAGUUCGGAUUGUAGGCUGCAACUCGCCUACAUGAAGCUGGAAUUGCUAGUAAUCACAGGUCAGCAUACUGUGGUGAAUACGUUCCCGGGCCUUGUACACAUCGCCCGUCACACCAUGAGAGUUGAGAAUACCCGAAGUCCAUGUCAAAGUGGCCGAAGGUAGGCUUGAUGAUUGGGGUGAAGUCGUAACAAGGUAAC
rnacentral:rRNA from 1 species